GAAACAUGUCGCAUGUGAAAUGUUUGAUAGAAGUGCCUCACGUCCAAGUCAAGCCGCCGUACGGGUGCAUGGCUCUGCGCCCCGUUCUCGGAAGCGUCGACGGGUGUCCGGCAUGCGGAUUUCAGCGUUUGGACUCGACUUUUGGUGAGGAUGUCGAUCGACCUUGGGCCUGGUGACAGCACACCCGACAUCGCCAAAGAGUUCUGUUGAGUGCCCCCGAAUGGACCAUCAACAUCGGAAACUGAAGCAGAGCCAGGGGGAAAAGGUUUCGGUAACACCAUGCAUUCUGUAUGGUGGCCCAGACGUGUAUGCAAGCAACCUCCUUCAUGUGGACCAAGAACUACUCUGCAGUGUCUCACAGAAUUCCAUGCGAAGCCCUCAACAUUCUCGUCUCAGUGGAAUGGCUGCUCAUCUAUCUGCGUGUCCAUCACCAAGACGGCCAGUUGUAAAGCUCCUGUACCCGUUUAAAAAACUUAAUGAUUUUUUUAUUUAGUUUUCACGGUUGGCCGUAGAAUCUUAACAUUUUUGAUGUUUCUAACGUUUUUACCUGGCACAAAGUGGCGCAAUAACUUUAAACCAGUGUAAUGUAUUUAAGUGAUGCUCACUCUAAUGCCUAUCUGGUUUUGUUUGUGUUUAAGAAAUUUGAAUGUCUGAUGAGGUAGCAGCAUUUAAAUUUGUCAUCGUGGCUUGUUUCAAUGAGCUGCUAGGAAAUAAGAUGCAAAACUUAUCACACGCCAGUUGUAGCAUUCUUGUUUUCAUGACUAAAGUAUACACGUUUCAAAAGAUGGAAAGUAGGGAAAAAAAGCCUCAAGAACAUAAUCAUCCUAGGAUUGUCAUGUCCUUACAACUCUGCAAUGACUAAUGCCUCAUGCAUCUUGGGAGCACAAUGGUCGCAAUGCCUACAGGUAUACUUGAUAAGAGAAUAGCUUGCAAAAAUUUAGUUGAGAGUUAGCGCUCAUCCUGUCUACUUCUAGUCUGUGUCCAUGUCACUUCGCGCUACAAUCCAAGAUCAUGUUACUGUACCAACUCGCGCAACUUUUUAGCCUUGUGUUAUAGAAACACUCAGACUUGUUCUUACUUAUGUGACCGGUUAUUUUUGUGCUUUAUAAUAAUAUGCAGUGCUUUUCGAAUGAAAACAUGGGAUAGUUCGUAGUGCGGUUAUUUAAAAAAACUGUUCUGCUUAAAAUUUAAUUGAGCAAGCCUGUGCCAUUAUUCGGUGCUUAUGUCUUUGUAUUGAUAGGGUUUUACUCAUCUUCCUUUUUAC